rnacentral:rRNA from 1 species
GGUUGACCUCGGAUCAGGUAGGAUACAGGCUGAC